rnacentral:rRNA from 1 species
AUUGAACGCUGGCGGCAGGCCUAACACAUGCAAGUCGAGCGGCAGCGGGAAAGUAGCUUGCUACUUUUGCCGGCGAGCGGCGGACGGGUGAGUAAUGCCUGGGAAAUUGCCCAGUCGAGGGGGAUAACAGUUGGAAACGACUGCUAAUACCGCAUACGCCCUACGGGGGAAAGCAGGGGACCUUCGGGCCUUGCGCGAUUGGAUAUGCCCAGGUGGGAUUAGCUAGUUGGUGAGGUGAUGGCUCACCAAGGCGACGAUCCCUAGCUGGUCUAAGAGGCUGAUCAGCCACACUGGAACUGAGACACGGUCCAGACUCCUACGGGAGGCAGCAGUGGGGAAUAUUGCACAAUGGGGGAAACCCUGAUGCAGCCAUGCCGCGUGUGUGAAGAAGGCCGUCGGGUUGUAAAGCACUUUCAGCGAGGAGGAAAGGUUGAUGCCUAAUACGUAUCAACUGUGACGUUACUCGCAGAAGAAGCACCGGCUAACUCCGUGCCAGCAGCCGCGGUAAAAC